AUUGAACGCUGGCGGCAGGCCUAACACAUGCAAGUCGAGCGAGCGGCGGACGGGUGAGGAAUGUAUGGGGACUGCCCGUUAGAGGGGGAUAACAACUGGAAACGGUAGCUAAUCCCGCAUACUAUCGGAUAACCCAUAUGGGAGUAGCUAGUUGGUCAGGUAAUGGCUCACCAAGGCGACGAUCUCUAGCUGGUCUGAGAGGUUGAUCGGCCACACUGGGACUGAGACACGGCCCAGACUCCUACGGAGGCAGCAGUGGGGAAUAUUGCGCAAUGGGCGAAAGCCUGAUGCAGCCAUGCCGCGUGUAUGAAGAAGGCCCUAGGGUUGUAAAGUUCUUUCAGUCGGGAGGCGUUACCGACAGAAGAAGCACCGGCUAACUCCGUGCCAGCAGCCGCGGUAAUUC
rnacentral:rRNA from 1 species